rnacentral:rRNA from 1 species
GGACUCGCACAAGCGGUGGAGCAUGCGGUUUAAUUCGAUGCAACGCGAAAAACCUUACCAGGUCUUGACAUACCAGUGCCAGGACUAGAGAUAGUCCCUUUCUUCGGAACACUGGAUACAGGUGGUGCAUGGUUGUCGUCAGCUCGUGUCGUGAGAUGUUGGGUUAAGUCCCGCAACGAGCGCAACCCUUAUCAUUAGUUGCUAACAUUAAGUUGAGAACUCUAAUGAGACCGCCGGUGACAAACCGGAUGAAGGUGGGGAUGACGUCAAAUCAUCAUGCCCCUUAUGACCUGGGCUACACGCGUGCUACAAUGGCUGGUACAAAGAGUCGCAAUACCGUGAGGUGGAGCUAAUCUCAUAAAGCCAGUCUCAGUUCGGAUUGUAGUCUGCAACUCGACUACAUGAAGUUGGAAUCGCUAGUAAUCGUAAAUCAGCAUGUUACGGUGAAUACGUUCUCGAGUCUU